CCCCUGCCAUGAUCCUGAAAUAUCUUACCAAGGACAGAGCGAUGGAGGAGGUUUGCCUUCCUUACAGUCCAAGGCAGUUGGUGUUAGGGAUCACAGAACAGCAACCAGAUGGAUGGAGGCAGUGUGCCUUCCUGUGUUUGCCAGGAAACUUUGCUCUGUCUUGGGCAAUCCAGGUGUUUGACAACUCCAGGUCCCCGUCACAGGAGGCAGCUACAGAGAGCUAGAUUGAGCAGUGUCGGUGCUGUCUGGUGGAGAGGACAUCUACCAGGCAAAGAGAGAAGAAGUGGACAUGCCUUUCUUACUCCAGCCUAUUUGUUGGGCAGAAAAGCCUUUCUGUACUUGGGAGGAGAGGCUAUGUGGGAAGUGCUUGCUCCUGUGAGGCGCAGGAGAGUGAAACACCGAAUUUCUUUGUAUCGAACUCUAUCACAAAAGAUGUUUUGCAGGUUCCUGCCUCAGACCUUCUCUUUGCUGAUAAUAAAGAUAAGAGAUUAUGAAAAUACUAAGGGACUUGUACUAACAGAUUUUUGCAAUACAUCAGCAUGGAAGCACCAAAUAACUGUGUUAGUGGAAUUCAGAUGCAAGUUCUGCAGGAAGAAAAAAAGAAUCUGCUGAGUAACAGUCUGUCAGAUAUGUUAACUGAGAGUGACAACACGAUGUGAUCUGCAAAAAGAGACAAUAAAGACAUUCUACUUACAAAGCA
rnacentral:lncRNA from 1 species